GAGGGCACUGAGUGGGUUACUCUUCACAAGCACAGAGCUAAGCCCAGUCCUGGUAGAAAGCACACACAAAGAAGACCCAAGACCAUGAAUAUGCUGACCUAAGUUGGACAGAACUGCUUCAUGGCUUCCUGCUGUUACUCCAUGGGUUUCUGAUCCUGUUCUGUAGGUUUCUGCUGUUACUCUGAGUUCCUGCUAUUACUCUGUGGGUUCCUGCUGUUACUCUGUAGGCUCUGCUAUUACACUAUGGGUUCUGAUGUUACUCUGUGAAUUCCUGCUGUUACUCUGUGGGCUCUGAUGUUACACUGUGGGUCCUGUUUUUACUCUGUGGGUUCUGAUAUUACUCUGUGGACUCUGAUGUUACUCUGUGGGUUCCUGCUAUUUCUCUGUGUGUCCUGCUGUUACUCUCUGGGCUCUUGUGUUACUCUGUGGGUUCCGACAUUACUCUGUGGGCUCUGCUGUUACUCUGUGGGUUCUGACGUUACUUUGUGGGCUCUGCUGUUACUCUGUGGGCUCUGAUGUUACACUGUGGGUUCUGCUGUUACUCUGUGAAUUCCUGCUGUUACUCUGUGGAUCUCUCUGUGGUUACUCUCUGAAUUCCUGCUCUUAUUCUGUGGACUUCUUUUGUUGCUUUGUGAGUUUCUGCAGUUAGUUUACCUCUUUACCAUCCAGCCAGGAAUUCUUUCACUAGGAAUUGUGUGGAUGCUGGCCAAUUGGGCUAAAUUUAAUAUUACUAUGUCCCCUAUUGUGGUGGUGGGGUCUUGGCUUGGCAAUUUCUACUAGUAUUCCAUAUGCAGUUAAUCUUGACACAUCAGUGAAAGAAAAAUAAAAUCUCAGGCCUCCAAACUUACUAUGCCAAAGGGAAAAGUUAAUAUUGGCAACACACACACACACACGCACACACACACACACACACACA
ensembl:lncRNA novel transcript